rnacentral:tRNA from 1 species
CGCGGGGUAGAGCAAUGGUAGCUCGCAGGUCUCAUAAGCCUGAGGUUGUGGGUUCAAGUCCCGCCCCCGCAA